rnacentral:rRNA from 1 species
CCAAUAGCGUAUAUUAAAGUUGUUGCAGUUAAAAAGCUCGUAGUUGAAUUUCGGGAUCAGUACGCUGGUCGUGCCUCCGUUAUGUACUGGCGUCACUGAUUCCUCCCUUCUGAAGAACCAUCAUGCCAUUAAUUUGGUGUGGUGGGGAGUCAGGACUGUUACUUUGAAAAAAUUAGAGUGUUUAAAGCAGGCUCGCGCUUGAAUACAUUAGCAUGGAAUAAUGAAAUAGGACGUUUAUCCUAUUUUGUUGGUUUCUAGGAUUGACGUAAUGAUUAAUAGGGAUAGUUGGGGGCAUUAGUAUUCAAUUGUCAGAGGUGAAAUUCUUGGAUUUAUUGAAGACUAACUACUGCGAAAGCAUUUGCCAAGGAUGUUUUCAUUAAUCAAGAACGAAAGUUAGGGGAUCGAAGACGAUCAGAUACCGUCGUAGUCUUAACCAUAAACUAUGCCGACUAGGGAUCGGAUGAUGUUAAUUUUUUAAUGACUCAUUCGGCGCCUUACG